UGGGGAAUAUUGCACAAUGGACGAAAGUCUGAUGCAGCAACGCCGCGUGGAGGAUGACACAUUUCGGUGCGUAAACUCCUUUUAUAUGGGAAGAUAAUGACGGUACCAUAUGAAUAAGCACCGGCUAACUCCGUGCCAGCAGCCGCGGUAAUACGGAGGGUGCAAGCGUUAGCCGGAAUUACUGGGCGUAAAGAGCGUGUAGGCGGUUAUAUAAGUCAGAAGUGAAAUCCAAUAGCUUAACUAUUGAACUGCUUUUGAAACUGUAUAUCUAGAAUGUGGGAGAGGUAGAUGGAAUUUCUGGUGUAGGGGUAAAAUCCGUAGAGAUCAGAAGGAAUACCGAUUGCGAAGGCGAUCUACUGGAACAUUAUUGACGCUGAGACGCGAAAGCGUGGGGAGCAAACA
rnacentral:rRNA from 1 species